rnacentral:rRNA from 1 species
UACGUAGGAGGCAAGCGUUGUCCGGAGUUACUGGGCGUAAAGCGCGCGCAGGCGGUUUUUCAAGUCAGUGGUGAAAGCCCGGAGCUCAACUCCGGAAAUGCCAUUGAAACUGUGAAACUUGAGGAUGAGAGAGGUGAGUGGAAUUCCCAGUGUAGAGGUGAAAUUCGUAGAUAUUGGGAAGAACACCGGUGGCGAAGGCGGCUCACUGGCUCAUUUCUGACGCUCAGGUGCGACAGCGUGGGGAUCAAACAGG